CUGUAUACUAUUUAGUAUAGGUGAAACUUUGAAACCGUUAAAUGGAAAUGACAUUUCAUCCCUUUGACAUUUGUCAAAAAAUGCACAUAUUUUUGAAGCAGGUUUGAUAGAAAUUAAUUUGGCAGAUUUCAGAAACGGAAAGGAUUUUUCUCGGUUUUUAAAAAACUUGGUAUAGAAAAUUCAAUUUUUUCAGUCAAUAAGUUUAUUCAAGAAUGAAACAAGUUAUUCUGUGAUCAGACUACUCACUUCUCGAGAUGGUGAUAAGAAACCGAAAAUACAUCAAGAAAAACACCUCAAGUUUUAUUGAAUUUUUAAAUUAUGCAUGAAAUUGCACGCAUGCAUAUUUGGGUGGAAUAUUGCUGUUGAAAUAACAGUUUUCUGAAGUUUGUAUCAACUCGCAAAUAUUUUAUGUUUUUGAAACUGAAUUGGAAGAAGAACACUGGCGAAUGAAAUUGACCUCCCCAUUUAAUAUACACAAUGGCGAAGACAGCGGGAUAGAUAAAAAUGAAAAUAAAAUGAAAAUAGUUAAAAAGCAAGGUUCAAAAAUGAAUAGCAAAAAUAAACAAAAUCAAAAAAGUAAGAGAUGGAAUGUUUUGAAUUGCAUUUGUCACAUUAAAUGUUUCCUACAAAUAGGGAGAUGUUA